UUUGUAUCAUUUCCAGUACAGAAUAACUUUGCCAUACAUAGGAAGAUACAUUAGCAGAUUUAGGAAAAAAAGAUAAACAAUCAUAUGUAGUCUGCUUCAUUUUUUUCAUGUGGUAAACGUAGGAAGAUUCCUUUAAGUAAUUAAUCCAAUAACUAAAAACUCUUCCCUUUUUCUCCCCUAUGGCUGCCUUCCCCAUAUUCUUACAUGGUUGGGUGGGAGGCACUCUCAAUCCUCUAUGUCACAGCAGGUGUCUAUUACUGAGUUAAGAUUAGAGUUUGGGUGUGAUGGAUGGGCUUGCAAGGGAAGGAGCCCACUGGUGGCAUUCACCACUGCGAAGACUGGUCAUUAUCAAAGUGAACAAUAUCAAUUCAGUUAAACCAGUCACAAAUGUUUCAUCUGAACUGCAGUUCAUGUUACUUAAAUGCUAACAGUGCAUUUAAUCUUACUAUGAAUAGAGAAACAGCAGAGGAGACAACAACAUGAAGUUUGCAGUUUGUCCCAGGAUGCAUGGAGAGACCUAUCAGGAUCAAGCAGAAUUCAAGAAAUAGAGACUGAUUGACACUUUUUGCCAAAUCACUGCAAGAGUAAAAUAAAGAGGAAAAAAUCUCUGCAAAGACAUCAAACAACUGUUCAGAGGUGGUAGGAAUUAAUUCAGUGAUACAAAUAUGCUCUGAGUUUGUCCUGAAAGGUCAGUAUUACUGAAUUUUAUUUCCAAGUAACGUAUCCCAUUAUAACCCCAAUCAAAGUCAGUGGGCAAAGAUCAGGUCCAGAGUGAUCUAACAAGGGACCUGCUGCAUGUUUCUUUCAGCUAACUGUCUCUCACCAUGACUAUAUCUAGAGAUUUCAAAGGAAAAGGGGAAAACUCUAUUGCAGACAGUUUAUGAAACAAAUGACCCAUUAAAGAAGAUCAUUUCCUUACAAAGAAAGGAAAGUUGCCAAGGGAAAGAAACUUUCUCUGCAAGUUUACUCAGAUUAUUUUUGCUGGUUUUUACAGAUAUUAUUACUAUAUUAUUAUAUUAUAUUAUUUUAUUAUUAUUAUUACUUAUUAUUACUUAUCUUUGGCCCUUGGAGGGAUUUUACAAUCACUAUGAGAUCAUAAAAAAACCUGACCUAACAAUAAUAAUACCAAAAAAACCAGCCACCCAAAAAAACCCAAACAAACAAAACCAAACAAAGAAAGAGCCCCUCAAUGCUUUUAUAAAUUUAAAUAGCAAAAAGACAAACAUUUUAAUGGAAACAUUUUUUUCCAGAACUCUGUCCUUAAAUUAUUUUAGUCUUGGGUUUUGUACUCUUCAUUUUAAUCUUGUUUUUCAUUUCUGCAAAGCAGAGAAGCCAGCUAAAUCAUGGCAAUGUUCUGGAAAGGAAAUGGUUAAUAUCCAUGAAGAGGAAUAAGAAAUGCUAUGUUCUUUUUAUAAAGGGCAAUUUCUCACCCACAUGGGUAUUUGGAGCUCACAUGGAUCAGGUUUCCAAAUAACCCACAUUUUGAGUCUGGAACAAACCAUAUGCAAUAUGCAGAAGUGAACCAUCCUCAGCAGACUGGUUGUUUAAAGAGCUGCUGCUCAUUUCCACUGUCCAUUUUUAUCCAUCCCUUUUAAGUGGUCGCCAAACAAAGAAAAGAGUUAUUCUCUUCCGAAAGCUGGUAAGAUCUUAGGUAGAAGAAAAUUUGCAUUUAGCUGAAUGUUAAUUUUACAAUGCUGUCCAGCUAUAGCAGAGUAGUUUGCUUUUGCUUCCUCCCCACAACCAGCACACACAUAGUCAGGAAAGGACUACUGAACCUUCUCAACUUCUUUGAGCAAACUAAGCAAAACUGUGUCUCUAGGUGGGUUUUCUGCUUAAAGGAGAGAGACUUCACAGAACAAAUAAGAGUAGUCAAGGACAUUACACCAGAAGGGCGCUGCCCUUUGGGUUUGGCCAUAUCAGCUACAAGAAAUGAAAAUGUUUUGUGCUUCUUAGAGCUUUCCUUUGUGGACAUUUAUCAAGUUUUGCCUUUACUCUUUCCCUUCACAGCUUUCCAAUAAUCAUCUCAGCAUUCUCAGACUUUGGGAAAGGUCAAAUCCAGACCUAAAAACCAAUUGGUCAAAACCAAUUCCAAGUUUUAUGAGUUUGAUGUAAAAGCAUAAGUAAUAUUUGUUUUUGGAAGCAGCACAUGGGAUCCAAGUAACCCCAUAUUAGGACUGCUAUGGGUUUACAAGUCAUGGGGUCCUAAUUCAUUUACAAGUGGUGAAGGCUGGAUAGCUUGUGCCCAGUCUCCUGCUGGGUGAUACAGCAGAUUAGAUAACUAAUGCAAGUGUGUAACACAGGAACUUGUAAGUGGCAAGGAUUUUUUCUAAACAGUUAAAACAUCCCCUUUUACUUGCUUCUCAGUUAAUACACAAUUUCACACACAAAGAACAUUGUGCUCUCAGAUUGGAAAACCAUCUGAGAGAGUGAUGGGAGAAGUGGUGGAUGACUGCCUCAGGCAUGAGCCUCAGGGCAUGGGCAUCCUUAUGCUCCAUGGUGUCCUGCAAUGCUAAUGAGAGCACCAAAUGCCAUCCUAUUGCUACUUUUAAAAAAAUAUUAUUCUUAAUACCGUGUGUGCCCAAUUGUUUGGGCACUUCUCCUGUUGCUAUUUCCUCUGAAGUGUAACACAGAUGUUGAUUCACAUACAGAAGAUGCAGUAGGGGAAAACUGUGAUCUUAUUUCUCUAAUAUAGUGCAUUUCCUUAGCAGCAGAUGCCUUUUUACACUGAUCUCAUUCACACUGGAACUGUGUUUCCUCCUUCUGUAAAAAACUACUGCUUUUCUUUCUCCCAAAUCCUACCUGCCAUCCUUCCAUUAUAGGAAUUUAAUAAACAGGCAGAAAAAAAAAGCCAUUUUUUGUGCCUCAAAAAAUUCAAACUGCCAGUGGGUGAAACAGACUAAAGGCAUUGAUUAACAUGGUCUGGCAAAAGAUGAGCUCAAAGCAGAGCACCUUAUUCAAGAAACCCUCAACUGGCAUGAAUUGUCAUCAUCUACAUUCAUGCAAUAUUUGAUACCCAUGAACAGAUGGGAAAGAAAUCCUGCCUUUCGCAUGCUACAAUUCAAUGUGAUUUGGGGCAUUCACUGAAGUGAAUGUGAGCAGUUUUUAUCAUGUUGUGUUGGAAAACUGGCUAGUGUAGCCAGUAACCUGUUAAUUGAAAGUACACAUAUAAUGCUUGUAACUAGGUCCAUGCUACUGCACUUCAAAAUGUAGUGUAGGGAUGUUGGACCUUGGCAGGCCCAGGAUGAAUUUCCUGAUGUUAUAAGCUCUCUGACAAUUUUGCCUGUGCUUUCCAGGACAAUUUCCAAACAACCUGAGUCUGAAAAAGUGAAAAAUAGUCAGGUUUCUAGACAAAAUAUCAACUCCAGGAGAGUGGCUCAUUAUGAAAUAGCAGGGUUUGAAGGUCAGGGGUUUUCUUCUCCUUCCUUUUAGUACCUGGCUGUAAUCUAUAGACUUGCAUAAGACCAACUUUUAAACAAAGAGUUUGAAUAAAAACUGCUUUCAAGCUGUUUGACGGAGGGCUCUCUUUAGUGUUGGGAGCAAAAAGGAUUUAGAACAGGCACUUACUAAACCUUAAAAAAUAUUCAAAAAUAUUCUCAUACUACCUUUCUUUUGAUAAAAGAGUCCCACCUCAAUAAUUCUUUGCUACCUGAGUCUCUCAUCAGUAUGUAUUUUGUCUCUGUAGAAGUAAAUUUCCAGUUUCCAGUAUCACAGCAAACAGAAGUUAAAUCGAAAACUGUAUCUAUACUUUAAUUAUUUUAUGAUUCUUUUCACAUAAACCAUUUGCAUUUAUACUACCUAAAAUCUCUUCUACAAAGAUCCUUUGUAUGAUUCGCUAUUGCAACACAUUAAGAAGCAAAACUUUUUUGUUUACUGUGUACAUAAGAUAUAAACCCACAUAUUUCAUAAUAUGAUGUAAUAUAUAUAGUAAUUAUGUCUUAAUUAACUUUUUUUUUUAAGUGCUGCUAUGCCUUUUGGAACAGGAGAAGGAUCAAGUCUGUAAACGGUAGAAAGCCUAUGGUCUUCAAAAGUAGUUUGAGGAAACUUGAGUCUUUCAUCCUCUCCUUAGCACCCGUGAGGUCACCUCUGGAAACCCAUGAGCAUUCUCUUUUGCAAGAAACCAAAAGCCUUUACAGGUGUUCAUCCAGGUGAAGUCCUUGACUGGAGUAACACAGCACUCCAGUGACACGUGGGCAAUAAAAUCCAGAGCUCCCAGUUGUUGUGUCUCCCUAGGCUUCGUAGGGCUCCCCUCACUCCCAUCUGCACCCCAGAUCAUUUGUCCUUCUUCCCCUGCCCACUGCCCCUACAACACUGAGAUAUUUACCCAGGUUGAUUGUUUCACCGGUGAACUAUCUGCUCUUAUCAUAAUAAAGAGCAGUAAGUCACCUGGUCCUGAGGAAGGCUGGGGCUCCACUAGUUGACAUCACUUACAGCACCAAAGUGACUCCCAUUAAGCACAGCAGUGGAAAGACAGAUGUUAUGGUAAUAAGUGUAAAUUAUUUUACAAGCAAAAAUGAGAAUAUCUUUAUUCUAAUUCUUUAACUUUAGGCUGGGUUUUGUAUUAACUUAGAUUAAUGCAACAUGCUUCAACUAUUUUGUGGGUAUUCAAAAUAUUCUGUUCCAUUUCUUGGCUUGAAAACAGGCAAAGAAUAUGUAAUUUCCAGCUAUAUGACUUGUUUCUGCUUCUUCUGAAAUCCACAGGGAAAUCUUACCUUUGAAUUCAAUUUAAAGCUGCAGUAAUAAAGCUGGGAUGGAGACCUGGUCAGUGCUGGAGAUGGGAAAAUGAUAUAGAUGCUCAUUUUGUCUUAUGCAUCUUGCGUGGUAUGGCCACUCCUGACUUCAGUUUAUUUCAGUGGAAAUAACACUAAAUUUAAGGUUGUAGCCAAAAGUUGCUUUAUGCAAUGUUUCAAUAUAGCUAAUAUAUCUAAGUGUGAGAAUGUUCAGAUUGGUUAAAAAGCAUUUAUUGUUAAAAAAAUCAGAAUAUUCAGAUUCUAUAUUUCUUUUAUAACCAUAGAUCCCAUGAGAAUUUUAACAGCAGUUCAAAGUUAAUAGUAUUUCUUGCUCUUCAUGGUCUCCUCCAUAACUUCAAAUUGAGUCUAUGAUUAUUGCUGAUCUUUAUGAACUAAAUUGCUCAUAAUUCCUUAUUCAUUCAAGUUCGAACUUCAUAAUCUAAUGAAAGCCACUAAAUUAGAGAGCCCAGUCCCAUUGUAUCUUAGCUGACAGACUCAUAGAGGAAAUAAAUCAGCUAAUGAGAUGAAAUAAUCAGAUAGCUAAAAGACUGUACACAGAUUGCACUGUUGGAAGUCUAUUUUAAAAGAUAAGCUAAUUUAUACCCCUUAUAUUCCACUAUAACCCCCUAAAUUCAGAAGUGUCUGACACAGAGUACACUCACAAAUUCCUAUUUGAAAAUUGCUAAGGAAAGUUUCCAUUGAGGCAUUUCAUCAGUGCUGUCUAGUUCUCAGAGUAAGGAAGAAGGCACUGGAAGACCUGAGAUUUUUCCCCAGCACCGGCUUGUGUUGAGUCCAGCUUUUUUAUCCUUGUCUCUUUUGCUCUGGCACUUCCCAACAGCUUGCUGUCUCUGGCAUGCACCUCCAAGAGCAGAGUCAUCUCUGACAAAAAGCCAUGUAGGCAUCUGAGGGCCAAGUUCUCUGCUGAAACAGGCUGUGUAGCUCUACUGAAAGCUGUGAAAAUUUACUGAUUCUCACCAUAUGGAAACCAACCUCCAUCCUUAACUGUUGUUCGACCAAGUUUUUUCUCAACCAAGUGGUUCUGAUUUCAGAUGUGUAGCCUUGGGGGCAUGGGGUAGCCGCUGCAUGAAAACCUUUGUUACCCUUUGAAUUUUUGAUACAUAAUACCAUGGAAAAUUUAUUUAUCCUCUUCCUAUAUAUUUUGCUAUACAAAUGGAUUAUAUAAUUAUCAAGAAGAGAAAGAUCCAAGUAUCUAAAUUACACGUUUGCAACCAAGACGAAAGCUGUAGCUCUGUGGUUUCCUCACAGGAACUCAUAGAAAGUGAAAUAACAUUCCAUCUUACCCCUGUCUUCAUGAUUAGAUGAUGAAAAGAGUAUCUGUGCCAUGUUCCUAGUGCAGAUAGUUGUUUCUUCUAUUUGUAACAGAACAUGAGAUUGACUUCCAAAAUGCACUUAGGGUACAGUCACAGCUUCAUUUCACUAAAGAUGCUUGAAACUCCCACAUCAGCAGGCUUUCUAUAUAGACACUUCUGAUUCAUAUGGCAGUAUAGUCGAGUUGUAGUUAGUGUAUGCACUUAUAAAGGGAAAACUAUGACCACAUCCAUCUAGAAAUAAGCCCUGACUUUUUUAACUAUUACAUUGAAUCGUUAGGAGAGGCUUUGCUAUCUUCCUUAGUCUUCAUAAGCCAGGGGAAAAAACACAAAAAUGGCUCAUCACCCAGAAAAAUUGUUUCAUAAGGAUCUGGCCUUCGGUUUGAAAAGUGUGGGCAGAACACUGACCAAGUGGAAGGGAAACAAUUCCCCCUGUGGGAAUCAGAGUGUGGGUGCCGUGCAGGGCACUUUUGUGACCCACACAGUGGCUGCCACAUGCAUCAGACCAAGUAACAAUUCUUCCACCCUUGAAACUCAGGAAAAUAAUUUAUAUAUAAAAAAAAUCAUACAGCUCCCUGCUCAAAGCAAAUUCAAUCAUAAAGGACUUAUGCAGUGCUUAGCAGUAAGAAAAUCCAGGCUGCAAAAAUAUUAAUUGCCUUUAAAAUAAGAUAAAGAUGCAAUACUGAUAAAGCUAAAGAUAUCAGCUGUAAUGUAAUCACUGGACUUCUUGUUUAUUUGACUGACUUGAACCAUUUCAUCUUGAAGUGUUUUUAUACAAUGCACAUUGAUCAAUUUAUUCUGGGUAAGACAUCCACUGAAAUGAUGAUGGAAUUUAUGUCAGUGUGAGAGUGACAGUAACAUAUUUCUAUCAAUAAUAGUGAAGAAUAAUAUUAAAGAACACUGCAGAACAAAGUGCUCCUUUCUUAAGCCAUAAACCAAGACGUGGGCCUUGAGAAAUAGUCUGAUGUCAUUUUAGGAGGCAAACAUUCCACUAACGGUAUCAGAGUCAAAAAGUGCAUAAGGAAAUACAGAGAUGACAGUGUUUUUGAGAUUAAGAAGGAAUGUGUCUGUGAAGAGGUGAGUGAACAGUGUCAACGAGAACUACAUGAAGCAGAAAAACUCAUGGAGGAACAGGAUGACUCACGGGCAGCAUAGCUGGAAGCAAAAAGCUUGCAAGACACAUGAAAAAAAUGUCAAUUGUGAAGAAUGUCAACAAAUUGCAUCAUACAGCAUUUUGUGAACCAACACUUCACACGCAUAAACGAUCUCCACUGAAAUCUACUCUGAUGAAGUUUUUGGUCUGGUUUCCCCUCUUGCAAAAGGACCAGUUCUCUUCUGUACAGACACUUCGCAAAUACAACUCUUUAGCUGUUUCUAGGAGAUACUGCAGUAUCUCUUAAAAACUGUUUUGUUUUAUUAAGAACUCAAAGUGUCACAUUUCCAUACCACUGCAAUUACCAGGUAACAGUGUUUUUACUUCCAAAAUGCCAUUUCCAAGUUUAUCAUCUCUCCGUGACUUGUAAUUCUUCUGGAUAAACAUGUUUGAGAUCUGUGAUGGUCUCCCUGGUGAUGGUUGCCAUAGUGCUUCACAGGAUUUUAUUUCUGCUCAUUCCUCAAAAGCAGGACUGUGGUUCUCUGUGGGAGGCCCAGAGUUGCACCAGUCUCAGAUUUUAUUGCCUUUACCAUUCUGCCCCCACUAAGGAAUAAACCACCCAGACAUGCCACUGUCAUCUUUACUGUAUUCCAUCAACUCUGCUUAAAAUAAAUGUUACAAAUGAUU